rnacentral:rRNA from 1 species
GGCGCACGGGUGCGUAACGCGUAUGCAAUCUACCUUUUACAGAGGGAUAGCCCAGAGAAAUUUGGAUUAAUACCUCAUAGCAUAGCAGCUUCGCAUGAAGCCACUAUUAAAGUCACAACGGUAAAAGAUGAGCAUGCGUCCCAUUAGCUAGUUGGUAAGGUAACGGCUUACCAAGGCUACGAUGGGUAGGGGUCCUGAGAGGGAGAUCCCCCACACUGGUACUGAGACACGGACCAGACUCCUACGGGAGGCAGCAGUGAGGAAUAUUGGACAAUGGGCGCAAGCCUGAUCCAGCCAUGCCGCGUGCAGGAUGACGGUCCUAUGGAUUGUAAACUGCUUUUAUACAGGAAGAAACACUCCGACGUGUCGGAGCUUGACGGUACUGUAAGAAUAAGGAUCGGCUAACUCCGUGCCAGCAGCCGCGGUAAUACGGAGGAUCCAAGCGUUAUCCGGAAUCAUUGGGUUUAAAGGGUCCGUAGGCGGUUUAAUAAGUCAGUGGUGAAAGCCCAUCGCUCAACGGUGGAACGGCCAUUGAUACUGUUAGACUUGAAUUAUUAGGAAGUAACUAGAAUAUGUAGUGUAGCGGUGAAAUGCUUAGAGAUUACAUGGAAUACCAAUUGCGAAGGCAGGUUACUACUAAUGGAUUGACGCUGAUGGACGAAAGCGUGGGUAGCGAACAGGAUUAGAUACCCUGGUAGUCCACGCCGUAAACGAUGGAUACUAGCUGUUGGAAGCAAUUUCAGUGGCUAAGCGAAAGUGAUAAGUAUCCCACCUGGG